rnacentral:rRNA from 1 species
GUGCUUACACAUGCAGUCGAGCGAGUCCAUCCGGUGGCAACACAGGUUGAAAGACCGAGCGGCGAACGGGUGAAGUAACACGUGAGCAACCUGUCCCGAAGACCGGGAUAACACCGGGAAACCGGGUGCUAAUGCCGGAUGUCCCCACCGGACCGAUGAUCUGGUGAGGAAAUGGAUUCCGUUCGGGAGGGGCUCGCGGGCUAUCAGCUUGUUGGUGGGGUAACGGCUCACCCAAGGCGACGACGGUAAGCUUAGUCUGAGAGGACGACCAGCCACACUGGGACUGAGACACGGCCCAGACUCCUACGGGAGGCAGCAGUGGGGAAUCUUGCGCAAUGGGCGAAAGCCUGACGCAGCAACGCCGCGUGGGGGAUGAAGGCUCUCGGGUUGUAAACCCCUUUCAGCAGGGACGAAAUUGACGGUACCUGCAGAAGAAGCCCCGGCCAACUACGUGCCAGCAGCCGCGGUAAUACGUAGGGGGCGAGCGUUGUCCGGAUUUAUUGGGCGUAAAGAGCUCGUAGGCGGCUUGGCAAGUCGGGUGUGAAAACUCCAGGCUCAACCUGGAGACGCCACUCGAUACUGCCAUGGCUUGAGUCCGGUAGGGGACCACGGAAUUCCUGGUGUACGGUGAAAUGCGCAAUAUCAGAGGAACACCGGUGGCGAAGCGGUGGUCUGGGGCCGGGCACUGACGCUUGGAGGAGCGAAAAGCGUGGGGAGCAAAACCAGGGAUUAAUACCCUGGGUUAGUCCAACGCCGUAAAACGUUGGGCCACUAAGGUGUGGGAACCUUA